rnacentral:rRNA from 1 species
ACAUGCCUACAACAUAACUUUAAUGCAUCAGAUCUCAUUAGAACUUUGCAGUUAAGCGUGCUCAAGCUAGAGUAGUAUUGGGAUGGGUGACCACCCGGGAAGUACUAGUGUUUUACAUGCC